GACGAACGCUGCCGGCGUGCUUAACACAUGCAAGUCGAACGGAAAGGCCCUGCUGUUGUGGGGUGCUCGAGUGGCGAACGGGUGAGUAACACGUGAGUAACCUGCCCUUGACGUUGGGAUAACGUCAGGAAACUGGGGCUAAUACCGGAUAGGCGCUCCUGCUGCAUGGUGGGGGUGGGAAAGUUUCGGGGGUUGGGGAUGGACUCGCGGCUUAUCAGCUUGUUGGUGGGGUAGUGGCUUACCAAGGCUUGGACGGGUAGCCGGCCUGAGGGGGUGACCGGCCACAUUGGGACUGAGAUACGGCCCAGACUCCUACGGGAGGCAGCAGUGGGGAAUAUUGCACAAUGGGCGGAAGCCGGAUGCAGCAACGCCGCGUGCGGGAGGACGGCCUUCGGUUUGUAAACCGCUUUCGCCUGUGACGAAGCGUGAGUGACGGUAAUGGGUAAAGAAGCACCGGCUAACUACGUG
rnacentral:rRNA from 1 species